UGAGACUAGGGCCAAAAGUGGCCCUAACAGGGUCCUCCCUCAAGCUUCUGGGAGGUGAAUUCCCAGAGAACAGGACUCCAUGUGAGGGUUUAUCCGGAUCACCUUUUGCUAAGGGGACUAGCCAUUGACUCUUAGAUCCAGCUAGCCAUCUCAAAGGAAGCCAGGAUUGGAAAUUAUUUGUCUAGGAAGGUUCUGCGGAAAUUCA
rnacentral:sRNA from 1 species